ACUAUAAUUUUAGUUUAGAUCCAGAGCAGAGAAUCAACAUGACAUUAUCUUCUUUUUCCAGAAGUGCAAGAAGUUGAAGAGAAGAUAAAUUACCAUGAAGAAGAAAAGGCACCUUUUAUCCUCUUUUUUUGAUCUUCAGAUCAAGAGGAGUCCUGCCUGAUGAAUCUUACCUGCCCCUGGAUCUGAUUUAGACUCAAAGCAUGAAUGGCACCAGGAGUGAUUCUGCAGUACUUUUAAGGUAGAAGGACUUCGGAUAUCUGUCAAACCGUCUCGAGUCCCAGACAAUUUGGAAUUUAUUUUAUUCUCCUUACUUUAUUUUCAAGUCUAUUAAACUUCCAAUUCUCU